AGGUGUGCAGGCUACGCACCUGUUCCUCAUUCUCAUCAGUCUCAGUUAAAGCCCGGUCUCUCAUGCCACUCGUCGUCAGAUCGUCCAGUUUCCCACGCGGAAUCCUCCUCGCUCACCUGCAUUCUGCCUGCGCCUGCUGGAUCCGCCCCCGUCCUUCACCGUGCCUCUCCGUUGUGCCCCACCACCUCGUCUCUCCACCCUGCCUUCGCCCUGCCUCACUGCACUGCCUCGCCAUCCAGCCACAACAUUCAAUUAAAGCACCUUUAACUGA